ACUGCUCAGUAACACGUGGACAACCUGCCCUUAGGUUGGGUAUAAACCCGGGAAACUGGGUAUAAUACCCGAUAGGUCUCGAUUGCUGGAAUGCAUCGAGAUUUAAAGCUCCGGCGCCUAAGGAUGGGUCUGCGGCCUAUCAGGUAGUAGUGGGUGUAGCGUACCUACUAGCCUACGACGGGUACGGGUUGUGAGAGCAAGAGCCCGGAGAUGGAUUCUGAGACACGAAUCCAGGCCCUACGGGGUGCAGCAGACGCGAAAACUUUACAAUGCUGGCAACAGCGAUAAGGGAACCUCGAGUGCCAGGUUACAAAUCCGGCUGUCGAGAUGCCUAAAAAGCAUUUCAUAGCAAGGGCCGGGCAAGACCGGUGCCAGCCGCCGCGGUAACACCGGCGGCUCGAGUGGUAACCGUUAUUAUUGGGUCUAAAGGGUCUGUAGCCGGCCGGAUAAGUCUCUUGAGAAAUCUGGCAGCUUAACUGUCAGGCUUUCAGGAGAUACUGUCUGGCUCGAGGCCGGGAGAGGUGAGAGGUACUUCAGGGGUAGGGGUGAAAUCUUGUAAUCCUUGAAGGACCACCAGUGGCGAAGGCGUCUCACCAGAACGGACCUGACGGCAAGGGACGAAAGCUAGGGGCACGAACCGGAUUAGAUACCCGGGAAGUCCUAGCCGUAAACGAUACUCGCUAGGUGUCGGCCACGGUGCGACCGUUGUCGGUGCCGUAGGGAAGCCGUGAAGCGAGCCACCUGGGAAGUACGGCCGCAAGGCUGAAACUUAAAGGAAUUGGCGGGGGAGCAC
rnacentral:rRNA from 1 species